AUUGAACGCUGGCGGCAGGCCUAACACAUGCAAGUCGAGCGGUAGAGAGGUGCUUGCAUCUCUUGAGAGCGGCGGACGGGUGAGUAAUGCCUAGGAAUCUGCCCUAGUGGUGGGGGAUAACGUUCGGAAACGGACGCUAAUACCGCAUACGUCCUACGGGAGAAAGCGGGGGAUCUUCGGACCUCGCGCCAUUAGAUGAGCCUAGGUCGGAUUAGCUAGUUGGUGAGGUAAUGGCUCACCAAGGCGACGAUCCGUAACUGGUCUGAGAGGAUGAUCAGUCACACUGGAACUGAGACACGGUCCAGACUCCUACGGGAGGCAGCAGUGGGAAUAUUGGACAAU
rnacentral:rRNA from 1 species